CCUACGGGGGUCAGCAGUGAGGAAUAUUGGUCAAUGGCCGGAAGGCUGAACCAGCCAUGCCGCGUGAAGGUCAGUGCCCUAUGGGCGUUAAACUUCUUUUGUGCGGGAGCAAUAAUGGUCCCGUGUGGCCAGACGUGAGUACCGUCCGAAUAAGCAUCGGCUAACUCCGUGCCAGCAGCCGCGUUAAUACGGAGGAUUCAAGCGUUAUCCGGAUUUAUUGGGUUUAAAGGGUGCGUAGGCGGUCGGGUAAGUUAGAGGUGAAGUCCCGAGGCUCAACUUCGGAAUUGCCGCUGAUACUGUUCGGCUAGAGAGUAGAUGCGGUAGGCGGAAUGUAUGGUGUAGCGGUGAAAUGCUGAGAGAGCAUACAGAACACCGAUUGCGAAGGCAGCUUACCAAGCUACUUCUGACGUUGAGGCACGAAAGUGUGGGUAGCAAACAGGAUUAGAUACCCGGGUAGUC
rnacentral:rRNA from 1 species